GUACAGAGGCACUCUAAAACUUAUCCAGACAACAGCCGUUUUAGCUCAGUGGAAGCUCAUAGACGUUGCUGCAGCUACUCCGUGUUGUCUGCAAUGAUUCGGGUUGGUUUUUUUUCAAUCGAAGGUACGCGCAUAUUUAUGACGAUCAAGAUUAACGUAAAAAAUGGCCAGGAAUUCUCCUUUAAUGAUUGAAACUUUAUUUCCUUGU